GCACUACUGACGAGUCCCAAACAGAACGAAACCGCUUUGUCCAGUGC
rnacentral:hammerhead_ribozyme from 1 species